rnacentral:rRNA from 2 species
AGUCGAGGGGCAGCAUUUCAGUUUGCUUGCAAACUGGAGAUGGCGACCGGCGCACGGGUGAGUAACACGUAUCCAACCUGCCGAUAACUCGGGGAUAGCCUUUCGAAAGAAAGAUUAAUACCCGAUGGUAUAAUNANACCGCAUGGUCUUGUUAUUAAAGAAUUUCGGUUAUCGAUGGGGAUGCGUUCCAUUAGGCAGUUGGUGAGGUAACGGCUCACCAAACCUUCGAUGGAUAGGGGUUCUGAGAGGAAGGUCCCCCACAUUGGAACUGAGACACGGUCCAAACNNNNNNGGGAGGCAGCAGUGAGGAAUAUUGGUCAAUGGGCGCAGGCCUGAACCAGCCAAGUAGCGUGAAGGAUGACUGCCCUAUGGGUUGUAAACUUCUUUUAUAUGGGAAUAAAGUUUUCCACGUGUGGAAUUUUGUAUGUACCAUAUGAAUAAGGAUCGGCUAACUCCGUGCCAGCAGCCGCGGUAAUACGGAGGAUCCGAGCGUUAUCCGGAUUUAUUGGGUUUAAAGGGAGCGUAGGUGGACAGUUAAGUCAGUUGUGAAAGUUUGCGGCUCAACCGUAAAAUUGCAGUUGAUACUGGCUGUCUUGAGUACAGUAGAGGUGGGCGGAAUUCGUGGUGUAGCGGUGAAAUGCUUAGAUAUCACGAAGAACUCCGAUUGCGAAGGCAGCUCACUGGACUGCAACUGACACUGAUGCUCGAAAGUGUGGGUAUCAAACAGGAUUAGAUACCCUGGUAGUCCACACAGUAAACGAUGAAUACUCGCUGUUUGCGAUAUACAGUAAGCGGCCAAGCGAAAGCAUUAAGUAUUCCACCUGGGGAGUACGCCGGCAACGGUGAAACUCAAAGGAAUUGACGGGGGCCCGCACAAGCGGAGGAACAUGUGGUUUAAUUCGAUGAUACGCGAGGAACCUUACCCGGGCUUAAAUUGCAUUUGAAUAUAUUGGAAACAGUAUAGCCGUAAGGCAAAUGUGAAGGUGCUGCAUGGUUGUCGUCAGCUCGUGCCGUGAGGUGUCGGCUUAAGUGCCAUAACGAGCGCAACCCUUAUCUUUAGUUACUAACAGGUCAUGCUGAGGACUCUAGAGAGACUGCCGUCGUAAGAUGUGAGGAAGGUGGGGAUGACGUCAAAUCAGCACGGCCCUUACGUCCGGGGCUACACACGUGUUACAAUGGGGGGUACAGAAGGCAGCUACCUGGUGACAGGAUGCUAAUCCCAAAAGCCUCUCUCAGUUCGGAUCGAAGUCUGCAACCCGACUUCGUGAAGCUGGAUUCGCUAGUAAUCGCGCAUCAGCCAUGGCGCGGUGAAUACGUUCCCGGGCCUUGUACACACCGCCCGUCAAGCCAUGAAAGCCGGGGGUACCUGAAGUACGUAACCGCAA